rnacentral:rRNA from 1 species
CAGUCGCCGCGGGAAUACAGAGGGUGCGAGCGUUAAUCGGAUUUACUGGGCGUAAAGCGUGCGUAGGCGGCUUUUUAAGUCGGAUGUGAAAUCCUUGAGCUUAACUUAGGAAUUGCAUUCGAUACUGGGAAGCUAGAGUAUGGGAGAGGAUGGUAGAAUUCCAGGUGUAGCGGUGAAAUGCGUAGAGAUCUGGAGGAAUACCGAUGGCGAAGGCAGCCAUCUGGCCUAAUACUGACGCUGAGGUACGAAAGCAUGGGGAGCAAACAGGAUUAGAUACCCCUGUAGUCCCUGUCUCUUAUAC